CCUGUAAGACUGGGAUAACUCCGGGAAACCGGAGCUAAUACCGGAUAGUUCCUUGAACCGCAUGGUUCAAGGAUGAAAGACGGUUUCGGCUGUCACUUACAGAUGGACCCGCGGCGCAUUAGCUAGUUGGUGGGGUAAUGGCUCACCAAGGCGACGAUGCGUAGCCGACCUGAGAGGGUGAUCGGCCACACUGGGACUGAGACACGGCCCAGACUCCUACGGGAGGCAGCAGUAGGGAAUCUUCCGCAAUGGACGAAAGUCUGACGGAGCAACGCCGCGUGAGUGAUGAAGGUUUUCGGAUCGUAAAGCUCUGUUGUUAGGGAAGAACAAGUGCGAGAGUAACUGCUCGCACCUUGACGGUACCUAACCAGAAAGCCACGGCUAACUACGUGCCAGCAGCCGCGGUAAUACGUAGGUGGCAAGCGUUGUCCGGAAAUUAUUGGGCGUAAAGGGCUCGCAGGCGGUUUCUUAAGUCUGAUGUGAAAGCCCCCGGCUCAACCGGGGAGGGUCAUUGGAAACUGGGAA
rnacentral:rRNA from 1 species